rnacentral:rRNA from 1 species
UGGGGAACCUUGCACAAUGGGGGCAACCCUGAUGCAGCGACGCCGCGUGAGCGAUGAAGCCCUUCGGGGUGUAAAGCUCUUUCGGCAGGGAAGAUAAUGACGGUACCUGCAGAAGCAGCUGCGGCUAACUACGUGCCAGCAGCCGCGGUAAUACGUAGGCAGCAAGCGUUGUUCGGAGUUACUGGGCGUAAAGGGUGCGUAGGCGGCUCUAUAAGUAUGGUGUGAAAUCUCCCGGCUCAACUGGGAGGGUGCGCUAUAGACUGUGGGGCUAGAGUGCGGGAGAGGAAAGUGGAAUUCCUGGUGUAGCGGUGAAAUGCGUAGAUAUCAGGAGGAACACCGGUGGUGUAAACGGCUUUCUGGACCGUAACUGACGCUGAUGCACGAAAGCGUGGGUAGCAAACAGGAUUAGAUACCCUGGUAGUCCACGCCCUAAACGAUGCAUAUUUGGUGUGGGUCAUUCAGUUGAUCCGUGCCGGAGCUAACGCGUUAAAUAUGCCGCC